AUCCAGUUGACGAGUCCCAAAUAGGACGAAACGUGUGUCAAACUGUAU
rnacentral:hammerhead_ribozyme from 1 species